rnacentral:rRNA from 1 species
UCGAUUUGGAGUUUGUUGCCUAGAGUGAUGGGCUCCGAAGCUAACGCGAUAAAUCGACCGCCUGGGGAGUACGGCCGCAAGGUUAAAACUCAAAUGAAUUGACGGGGGCCCGCACAAGCGGUGGAGCAUGUGGUUUAAUUCGAUGCAACGCGAAGAACCUUACCUGGUCUUGACAUCCACAGAAUCUUUCAGAGAUGAGGGAGUGCCUUCGGGAACUGUGAGACAGGUGCUGCAUGGCUGUCGUCAGCUCGUGUUGUGAAAUGUUGGGUUAAGUCCCGCAACGAGCGCAACCCUUAUCCUUUGUUGCCAGCGAUUAAGUCGGGAACUCAAAGGAGACUGCCGUUGAUAAAACGGAGGAAGGUGGGGACGACGUCAAGUCAUCAUGGCCCUUACGACCAGGGCUACACACGUGCUACAAUGGCGUAUACAAAGGGAAGCGAAGGUGCGAGCUGGAGCGGACCUCCUAAAGUACGUCUAAGUCCGGAUUGGAGUCUGCAACUCGACUCCAUGAAGUCGGAAUCGCUAGUAAUCGUGAAUCAGAAUGUCACGGUGAAUACGUUCCCGGGCCU